AGUAAUAUGUCUGAUUUAAAGUGAUAAAUUGUAAAUUUAUUUAUGAAAUUAAUUUUUCUAUUACUA
rnacentral:tRNA from 1 species